CAAAGUCUUGGUCCUGAACCUAACAUUACCUGUGAUCUUACCUAUACAUGCAAGCCUCCACACAACGGUGAGAAAGCCCACAUCAACCCACAGACAGGAGCAGGCAUCAGGCUAAAACAAACCACUUACCCACAACGCCAAGCACUUGCCACACCCCCACGGGCCUACAGCAGUAACUAAUAUUGGGCCAUAAGUGCAAACUUGACCCAGUAAAGAUCAUAUAGAGCCGGUUAAUCUCGUGCCAGCGACCGCGGUUACACGACAGACUCAAGAUAAUGUCAAACGGCGUAAAGCACGGCUAGAACAAAGUACUACCCCUUAAGGACAAAGCAAAACCAGGCUGUAGAACGCCCUAAGUUAAACUAAAACCAACCCCUUAAGAAAACAACCUUUUCAACCCGUGAAAGCUAGGAUACAAACUAGGAUUAGAUACCCUACUAUGCCUAACCAUAACACGGCAACACUAUAGUUGCUCGCCAAACCACUACGAGUGAAAACUUAAAACUUAAAGGACUUGACGGUACUUCACCCAACCUAGAGGAGCCUGUCUAAUAACCGAUAACCCACGAUUAAUCCAACCACUUCUAGCCACCCAGUCUAUAUACCGCCGUCGCCAGCUCACCUUGCAAAAGAAACAAAGUGAACCAAAUAGUCAUACACUAACACGACAGGUCGAGGUGUAACUAAUGAAGUGGACUAUGAUGGGCUACAUUUUCUAAUACAGACCAUACGAAUAAAGACAUGAAACUUUCUUUUGAAGGUGGAUUUAGCAGUAAGAUGAGAACACAAUACUCAACUGAAACCAUUGCAAUGAAGUGCGUACACACCGCCCGUCAUCCCUGUCACCAAAAAGCAAAUCAACAUAUAAAAUACUUACAACAACAAAACAGGGCAAGUCGUAACAUGGUAAGCGUACUGGAAAGUGCGCUUAGAAACA
rnacentral:ncRNA from 1 species